CCCUCACGAGAUCCUAAUUAGUAAUGACAAGGAUGCAGCCCAAACCUUCCUAAUCCCAAUGGAUUGCAGGUUCAGUUUAGGGAAAGCAGGGUUUACCUGAAAAUCUGGAUGAGGUCAGUUUUAAUCUCCCCCUGUUUCUGACGAUAGGCGUUUUAUUUUCUGUUUUUCAGCCAUCGGCUUCUCUAUCUACUGUGGCAAAGUGGAGCAGGAGGAAGUGAACAGACCAAACCAGGGUGAGGAUGGAGCCAACACGAAGACGAGAGCAGUCUGUACACUUUUUUACUCUAUCAGUUGUUUCCUUUUCAUUCUUAAAAUUGCAGAGAAUUGUACUGAUGUAUGUGUUUAUCCAAAACGAGUAUUUGUUCGUUUUGAUCUUUUACACUUCGUUUUAAAGUGGAAGCUAAUCUAAAUAAAUUGAAGUUGAGUAGACUAUUGGAAUUAAUGUGCAGCAUUGAGAGUCAAGGGUCACUAGUGUUUUUUGAUGCUAUAUGGCAGUGUCAAUCACAGAUAUAUUUAGAGAUGUAGUUGAAAAGGAUGUUUUUCAGAAACAGAUGGAUCAGAAAGUAUCAAGGGGCAUCACUCAGUCAGUCCUAUGUCUGGAAUUCCGCUAGUUCUGAACUAUUCGUGAUUGGCAAAAGUUCACUACUAGCAGAACUCGGAUAUACAACUGAAUUCUCAACGAAUCCUCAAGAUAAUAGUUUGGUCUCAUGGUCUGCCAUUGGACAACUGCUAUAUUCAUGGUAUUUAGUACUGAACAUUUAUUUCACAUUUUUUGAAUGGAAUUAAUCCAUAUAAUUGAUGUUAAUCUAACAUGGGCAAAACUUUGCUUUCACUGCUCAAUGUUUCUCUAACAUCAUUCGUGGUUUAAUUUCUAGAUUAACUAUGCUAAUAUUGUUCUUGUAUUUAUUGUGUUAAAUGACAAAAGCUAAUUUCAUAUUCUUUCUUUGCAAUUGCAUCUUGAUUUGAAAGUUAACUUAUUGGAUGAAGUACAAGACCAUCCCUGGAUGUGUUUCUCGGUUACUCAUAACUGAAGAGCUACGGACUUGAUUACAAUCAGAUAUAUGAGAUACUUCUCUGUUUUCAUGUGUUAGUUGUUGUACAACAGUCCAUUUAAAACAGGACGAAAUGAGACUAAUGUAAUAUAAUUCAUUUAAAAUUGUAUGUCACAAUUCUUGAACUGAUAAAUUUAACACCACAAUUCUUUCUUUCUUUCUUUGCAUUUAUUGUACAUUUUUAAUGAUAACAAUGAACUUCUACUCAUUCUACUUGUUCAGCAAGCCAAGACCAAGUUACAAAAAUGUUGACAUUAAAAGCAAAAAUUCCUAGUGGGUCUAUGUUUAUUAUUUA